AAAGAAGGCACUUAUUAGAUUACAAACAAUCCAUGUAACAGUGGUAUAAGUGAUUCAUAGUAAGGUUGGAAAUCGUAUGGGGGGCAACUCUGACGAUAUAUCAUUCAAAUUUCUGCCCUAUCAACUUUGGAUGGUAGUAUAGAGGACUACCAUGGUGAUAACGGGUAACGGAGAAUUAGGGUUCGAUUCCGGAGAGGGAGCCUGAGAAAUGGCUACCACUUCUAAGGAGGGCAGCAGGCGCGCAAAUUACCCAAUCCUAAUACUGGGAGGUAGUGACAAUAAAUAACAAUGCUGAAGUUCAUACUUUGGUAAUUGGAAUGAGAACAAUUUAGACCCCUUAACGAGUAACCAUCAGAGGGCAAGUCUGGUGCCAGCAGCCGCGGUAAUUCCAGCUCUGAUAGCGUAUAUUAAAGUUGUUGCAGUUAAAAGCUCGUAGUUGGAUUUUAGAGUAUAUUGAUAUGGUCUCUUGUAACUUGUUGUACUGUGUUAAUUACUCUUUCCUACUGGUUACUCGACUCUGUCAUGGA
rnacentral:rRNA from 1 species